rnacentral:lncRNA from 1 species
GGAGCUGUGAGCUGGGGGGACUUUCAGAGUCGCUCUGCAUUAAGAUGGAAAAAAGAAGCUUGGAGAAGGGGAAAUGACUUUACCCAGCUAAGAAUAUGGCAAAGCUGAGCCAACUAGUCAAGUUUUCUGACCCCAAAUCCUGUAUUUCCCAUGACUCAUCUUGUGGAAGGCUGAGAUGCGGAAAUUGAGACUCAAAGAGGUUGAGCAGCAAUUCCGUGAGCUGAAACUUAAGCCCAGAUGCAUGUGAUUCCAGAGGCAGGCCCAGGCCCACUCGCCUCCUGUGAGUAUCAGGGAAGUCCAGUGCUGUCUGCUGCUGGCCUGUGAUGGAUGAAUUGGCCCUCUUGGACUUGGUCCAGUGCUUUCAAACUCGACUUUGUCCCUCCAUCCAUAUGUUCAGGCUUUUUUCCCUCCUCCCCACAGCCUGGGCAUGGCAGGUGAAGGAGCCUCCUCCUCUACUUUCUCUGCUUCUCAAAUGUUCUAAGACUUGGGAGAAGCCCAAAGACCUCCAGGCUCUUCACUCAUUCAUUCAACAGAUACCUUCUGAGCAUCUGGUAUGUUCUGGAUUUUGUCGUAGGGGUUGUGAACACAGCAGGCCAGGUUGUUGUCCGCAUGGAGGUUAUCAUGAACAAAUGCAUCAACGAGAAGAUUGUAGGGAAUGGCAUGAGCUUUGAUGUUACUAAAACAAGUUGGUGUCAUUGGAAGUGACUGGGGGAUGCGAGAGGGGCUGUUUUGCUAGCAUGUAGGGAAAUCCACUCCAUAGAGGGGAUGUUCGAACCGAGAUUUAAAUGAAAAGAAGCCACUCAGAGGAAGAUCUAGAAGAAGAAUAUUCCACACCAAGAGAGCGACAAGUGCAAAGUUCUCAAGGUUGGAAUGGACUUUACCAACUCAAGGAAGAGAAACGAGGCUGGAGCUUGGAGAGCAGGGGCAGAGGUCUGCUUCAGGGGACCCCCAAUCUAAGACAGAUAUCCCCAAUUUCACAUGAAGAGACUGAGGCAGCUGGAGGCAAAGCAGCUUGUACAAGACCCCACAAGAAGAGGAGGAGUUGCUUUCUUGAACUGCUGUGGUUUUACCCACAGUCACCGGACCGUGCUGCCGCCCUGGUGGGAGGAUGUGUCUGCCUGCACAGGUGGGAAAAUUAAGACCCAGAGAAGGAACUUCCCAGAGAGCUAUCCAGUGAGCCAAGUCAGAGUUAGGAGCAGGAGCCUCAAAUUCCCAGGAAAGCAGCACGGUCCUCGAGUUCCCCCAAAAGCCAGACGGCAUCUUUGACACCUGACUCCCAGGGGCCAGUCCUGGAGAGGACACCUGGCCUGGAGCCAACCUUCCUCUCCUCGCUGCCAAAGCUCUGCUCUCUGGGUUCUGGCACUGUCUGAAAAUUCCUCCGUUGGUCUGCUCUCGGCAGAGCAUAGAUUAUCACUCUUGUGCUAAUUAUUUUUAUGAUUAAAAGAUGAUAAAUUAUUAAACAAAGUCUGAAAAAUGUGCCAAGAUCUGCUCUGAGGCUGGGCCUGAGAAGUUGCCCCCUUGGCGUCCACGUUAAUUAAUAAAUGAGACUCUCCGUGGAGAGGAGCCACAGCUGGUAUAUCUGGCAGCCAGGCAGGAGCUGGCGGAGGCCAGAUGCCAUGCAGGUGGGGAGGAAGGGACUCCCUGGGAGUGCCCAGCCUGGGAUUUGGUAACAGAGUCCCCUCCCUCUCUGCUCCCAGCCUAGGACUCAGCGGAGAGCCCCUUGGUACCAUCCGAACAUCUGGCCUCUGGAAGAGGCCUAGGAUUUCAAGCUGAGAAGCUCCAGCUGAUACUUUAAUGCUGUUCCCCUCUCCAAAUGCAGACUUGGGAGCACCCCAAGUGUCUAAAGGAAGGCCGGAGACCAGGAUUCAAAUCUCUGCGAGCCCAUUUCUCCUUGGGUAACUUUUGGGUAGGUCACUCAAUGAGACGCCAAGCCUCAGUUUCCUCAUCUGUAAAAUGGGUAGAAAUGACAUCUAUUUUUGCAAGGGUAUUGAGAGUGUUAAAUAGGAUAAUGUCUAUCAAGAGCACUCAGCUCCCAGCAGAUGGUCAAAAAAUGUUAGUUGGGCUGACUUGAAGCUUGGGUUUUUUGCUGUGCUGCCAUAACUAGCUGUGAAACAUUGGUCAGGCAGAUUUACCUUUCUGAGCCUCAGUUUCUUUAUCUGUAAAAUGGGAAUGAGAACUCCCAAAUCUUAGGAUCAAAGGGAAAACUAUAUGUGAAGUGUCUAACAAAGAGUAAGUACUCAAUUAAUGGUGGCUAUUUUAUCAUAAUUGUUUAUUACAGCGCCAACACACUGAAGUUUCAACAAGUGGGUAUUCCUCCUUCACCAUGGGCACUUCUUCCUGCAUCCUUUGCUGGUUCUCCUCCCUCCCCACCUUACUCCUUGCAGCGCCCUGGGCUCAGGCCUCCAUGUCUUUCUUCCUUACACUCUCUCCCUUGUGAGCUCAUCCAUCUGUAUGCUGAUGGCUUCCACAUUUCUAAUGCUAGCCUCGACCCUCUUCCCAGAACUCCAGACUCCUACAAGCAGUUGCCCAUUCAAACUCUCCCCUUGGGUGUUUAAUAGAUAUAUCAGAUCUAAUAUGUCUAAUAAUGCAUCUCAAAUGGAAUUCCUCAUCUUCCCCUCUGCAAACCUGUUCCCCACCGCCCCUACAGUCUUCCCCACUUGGUUAAUGAUGGCUCCAUCCUUCUGGUGACACCUUGGAGUCAUCCUUGAUUCUGCUAUUUCUUUCACUUCAAAUACCUAAACCAUCAGGAAACCCGGACAGCUCCACCUUCCACCUCUGUUAGAACCUCAGCACCUAGCCAUCCCCCAUCACCUCCCCCACUCCCACCACCCUAGCAUAAGGCACCAUCACAUCUUACCUGGACUCUUGCAGUAGCCUACUAAUUGCUGUCCCUGCUGCGGUACUUGACCCCUAUAGUAAUGCUCUACAUAGCUGCCAGGAUGAUCCCUUUAAAACACAAACACUAGACCCAGUCACACCUGCUUAUAAUCCUCCAAGAGGCAAAGUCUUUGCCAAGGCCACAAGGCCCUGUACUACCUGAACCUCCCCGCUUGCUAAGACCUCCCUCUCUUACUCUGUGCCAGCCACGCCUACCUUGGUGCUUUCCGUGAACACACCAGGGGCACACUCCCACCUUGGAUCUUCAUACUGGCUGUUCACUCUUCUCAUUCCUCACCUCCCUCAGACCUCUGCUCAGAGGUCACCUUUGCUGUGAGGCUUACCUUGACUGUCCCAUUUAAAAGUGCACCCCGACAUUCUGCAUGGUGGCUUCCCUCUUCCAUUGUGCAUGUCCUCUUCUUACAUACUGGAGUUUCUUGAGCCUUGUGUUUGCUGUCUUCUCCCUCCAGCAUUAUCCGUUUUGUGCCCUGCAGCAUUCCCACAGCAACCAGCACAGCCCUUGUGUGGUGGAGGUGCCGGGCAUACUGAGAUGCAUCUGUCAGCAUCUGCCUCCUGGUACCUUGGGCCUGCAUGUCUGGCAGGCAGGUAGAAGAACACGCUGGCCAUUUCAAUGUUAAGACAAAGAGGUAGAGAAGGCUGGAUGAAGGAGGUGAUGACUGAACCAUAUCCUGAGGCAGCUGGGGUUUCCAGGAAGAGGACAGAGAGAAGGACAUUCAGGUGGAGGAGCCAGCAGAUGUGACAACCAGUGCACAGAGAGAUUAACUAACUUGCCGUCCAGUGGGCAUGUGGUGGAGCCCAGGGUGAAACCCAGGCAGUCUCU